GAAGUUACGGGGGGGGGAAUUGUCUGGAAGUAAAAGUCGUAACAAUGUUUCCGUAGGUGAACCUGCGGAAGGAUCAUUGUCGAAACCUGCAAAGUAGACCCGUGAACAUGUUUUUAACUUGAAUGGUGACUCGGCAGGGAUGCGCAAGCCCCAUGUUUAGAUCACCAUGCUUGCUUGACGUUCACGUCUUGUGGGCUAACGAACCCCGGCGCGGCAUGCGCCAAGGAAAACUUAAAGAAGCGUUGCCCCUGUGACCCCCGUAUGCGGUGCGGUCUUGGGAUGCAAUGUCUCUCAAAUGUCUAAACGACUCUCGGCAACGGAUAUCUCGGCUCUCGCAUCGAUGAAGAACGUAGCGAAAUGCGAUACUUGGUGUGAAUUGCAGAAUCUCGUGAACCAUCGAGUCUUUGAACGCAAGUUGCGCCCGAAGCCAUUAGGUUGAGGGCACGCCUGCCUGGGCGUCACACAUCGCGUCGCCCCCUCUAAAUCCAAUUUUGAAGGGGUGKRGGUUGGUCUCYCUGUGCAUCAUUGUGUGCCCCCCUGGCCCAAAAAAGAUCCCUUAUUGACGGUUGUCAUGACUAGUGGUGGUUGAAAACUCAAUCGUGCUGUCGUGCCUGACAUCGUUGUUUAUAGGGGCAUCAAAAUGACCCAAUGGUACAAAUAGUGCCUUCGACCGCGACCCCAGGUCAGGCGGGACCACCCGCUGAGUUUAAGCAUAUCAAUAAGCGGAGGAAAAGCUUCAAUAUAUAGUAAUAUCCAAUAAACGAAAAACUAC
rnacentral:rRNA from 1 species